GGGGAAUAUUGCGCAAUGGGGGCAACCCUGACGCAGCAACGCCGCGUGCGGGACGAAGGCACUCGUGUCGUAAACCGCUUUCAGCAGGGAAGACAUCGACGGUACCUGCAGAAGAAGCCCCGGCUAACUACGUGCCAGCAGCCGCGGUAACACGUAGGGGGCGAGCGUUAUCCGGAUUCAUUGGGCGUAAAGCGCGCGCAGGCGGCCGCCUAAGCGGGACCUCUAAUCCUGGGGCUCAACCUCAGGCCGGGUCCCGAACUGGGCGGCUCGCGUCAGGUAGGGGGAGGCGGAAUUCCCGGUGUAGCGGUGGAAUGCGCAGAUAUCGGGAAGAACACCGACGGCGAAGGCAGCCUCCUGGGCCUCGACGGACGCUGAGGCGCGAAAGCCGGGGGAGCGAAC
rnacentral:rRNA from 1 species